rnacentral:tRNA from 1 species
UCUUCGGUAGUAUAGUGGUCAGUGUCCCCGCCUGUCACGCCUGUCACGCCUGUCACGCCGGGGACGGGAGACCGGGGUUCGAUUCCCCGCCGGAGAG